AGACCUCGGACGAGAGCGCCCCGGGGAGCUCGGAGCGCGUGCACGCGUGGCAGACGGAGAAGGCCAGUGCCCAGCUUGAAGGUUCUGUCACCUUUUGCAGUGGUCCAAAUGAGAAAAAAGUGGAAAAUGGGAGGCAUGAAAUACAUCUUUUCGUUGUUGUUCUUUCUUUUGCUAGAAGGAGGCAAAACAGAGCAAGUAAAACAUUCAGAGACAUAUUGCAUGUUUCAAGACAAGAAGUACAGAGUGGGUGAGAGAUGGCAUCCUUACCUGGAACCUUAUGGGUUGGUUUACUGCGUGAACUGCAUCUGCUCAGAGAAUGGGAAUGUGCUUUGCAGCCGAGUCAGAUGUCCAAAUGUUCAUUGCCUUUCUCCUGUGCAUAUUCCUCAUCUGUGCUGCCCUCGCUGCCCAGAAGACUCCUUACCCCCAGUGAACAAUAAGGUGACCAGCAAGUCUUGCGAGUACAAUGGGACAACUUACCAACAUGGAGAGCUGUUCGUAGCUGAAGGGCUCUUUCAGAAUCGGCAACCCAAUCAAUGCACCCAGUGCAGCUGUUCGGAGGGAAACGUGUAUUGUGGUCUCAAGACUUGCCCCAAAUUAACCUGUGCCUUCCCAGUCUCUGUUCCAGAUUCCUGCUGCCGGGUAUGCAGAGUUCAAUUCAAUACAUAUAUUGAGCACCUGAUGUGUACGCAGCAAUAUGCUAAGUGCUCCAGCCUGGUUAUUCACAAACUCCUGCAUCCAUCAGAAUCCCCUGGAAGGCUUGUCAAAACCCAGGAUCACCAGCCCCCAUCCUGAGUUUCUGACUUAGAGAUGGAGAACUGUCAUGGGAACAUUCUGAUGGUGAUAUCUUCCGGCAACCUGCCAACAGAGAAGCAAGACAUUCUUACCACCGCUCUCACUAUGAUCCUCCACCAAGCCGACAGGCUGGAGGUCUGUCCCGCUUUCCUGGGGCCAGAAGUCACCGGGGAGCUCUUAUGGAUUCCCAGCAAGCAUCAGGAACCAUUGUGCAAAUUGUCAUCAAUAACAAACACAAGCAUGGACAAGUGUGUGUUUCCAAUGGAAAGACCUAUUCUCAUGGCGAGUCCUGGCACCCAAACCUCCGGGCAUUUGGCAUUGUGGAGUGUGUGCUAUGUACUUGUAAUGUCACCAAGCAAGAGUGUAAGAAAAUCCACUGCCCCAAUCGAUACCCCUGCAAGUAUCCUCAAAAAAUAGACGGAAAAUGCUGCAAGGUGUGUCCAGGUAAAAAAGCAAAAGAAGAACUUCCAGGCCAAAGCUUUGACAAUAAAGGCUACUUCUGCGGGGAAGAAACGAUGCCUGUGUAUGAGUCUGUAUUCAUGGAGGAUGGGGAGACAACCAGAAAAAUAGCACUGGAGACUGAGAGACCACCUCAGGUAGAGGUCCACGUUUGGACUAUUCGAAAGGGCAUUCUCCAGCACUUCCAUAUUGAGAAGAUCUCCAAGAGGAUGUUUGAGGAGCUUCCUCACUUCAAGCUGGUGACCAGAACAACCCUGAGCCAGUGGAAGAUCUUCACCGAAGGAGAAGCUCAGAUCAGCCAGAUGUGUUCAAGUCGUGUAUGCAGAACAGAGCUUGAAGAUUUAGUCAAGGUUUUGUACCUGGAGAGAUCUGAAAAGGGCCACUGUUAGGCAAGACAGACAGUAUUGGAUAGGGUAAAGCAAGAAAACUCAAGCUGCAGCUGGACUGCAGGCUUAUUUUGCUUAAGUCAACAGUGCCCUAAAACUCCAAACUCAAAUGCAGUCAAUUAUUCACGCCAUGCACAGCAUAAUUUGCUCCUUUGUGUGGAGUGGUGUGUCAGCCCUUGAACAUCUCCUCCAAAGAGACUAGAAGAGUCUUAAAUUAUAUGUGGGAGGAGGAGGGAUAGAACAUCACAACACUGCUCUAGUUUCUUGGAGAAUCACAUUUCUUUACAGGUUAAAGACAAACAAGACCCCAGGGUUUUUAUCUAGAAAGUUAUUCAAGUGAAAGAAAGAGAAGGGAAUUGCUUAGUAGGAGUUCUGCAGUAUAGAACAAUUACUUGUAUGAAAUUAUACCUUUGAAUUUUAGAAUGUCAUGUGUUCUUUUAAAAAAAUUAGCUCCCCAUCCUCCCUCCUCACUCCCUCCCUCCCUCCUUCUCUCUCUCUCUCUCUCUCCCUCCCUCUCUCACAGACACACACACACACACACACACACACACACACACGCACGUCCACACUCACAUUAAACGAAAGCUUUAUUUGAAGCAAAGCUAGCCAAGAUUCUACGUUACUUUUCCCUUGACUGGAUCCCAAGUAGCUUGGAAGUUUUUGUGCCCAGGAGAGUAAAUAACUGUGAACAAGAGGCUCUGCCCUUAGGUCUUUGUGGCUGUUUAAGUCACCAACAAUAGAGUCAGGGUAAAGAAUAAAAACACUUUCAUAGCCUCAUUCAUUCACUUAGAAGUGGUAAUAAUUUUUCCCUAAUGAUACCACUUUUCUUUUCCCCCUGUACCUAUGGGACUUCCAGAAAGAAGUUAAAUUGAGUAAAAUCAUCAGAAACUGAAUCCAUGUAAGAAAAAAUAAUUGUUGAAGAAAGAAGUUGAUAGAAUUCAAAAAGGCCAUCUUUUUGCUUUCACAUCAAUAAAAUUUACCAAGUAAUAGAUCAGUACUCACUAAUAUUUUUGAGACCAUAGUUGUCUGGUCAGAAAAAUUAUAUUAAAUUAGUAAAUUCUAGAAGCUCUUUAAAAGGGAAGUUUUCCUUCUUCUCCAAUUAUAGGAGUUGAUUUUUACUUUGCAAAGUGGCUCGGUCCUCAUGAGCAUCUGCAUGUUGACUCUUCAGUUAAGAAAAUUGUUGUUCAUUUAGGGAGGUGGAUAUUCUGAUGAAGAUCUUUAUCCUAAACCUUCCUACUAUCCUUGUCUUAUUCAUCAAGCAGAUAUUUUAGUCAAGAAUUCCAGAGAAGGCUGCUCCUAAAAUGUCUACUUGCAGCCCAAUACCAGAGCAUAAACUAUCCAUUCUGGGGUCUGGCUUUAGAAAUCAUCUUUGUGGGAAGACCUAAUUCUUCACAGCAAGGAUCUCAGGCAUGCCUUCUAGAUUUGUUCCCUCUGAGGGGCAGGAAUGAACUGUAGAAAUGUUUUAAGGACCCAGAAACCCCAUAUGUCUCAUUCCAUGACUAUAGGUGAGAGAAUUCUUUCCUAAGAGGGUUUGAUACCAAUAGGGGAAAAUGUAAAAUGUUCAGUCUUUAUGACAACCUGGCAUAAAGGAGUCAAUUCUUAUGAAAGAGACACAAGGGCCUUAUGGCCAGGGUUUCUUGGGACAAGACUCUCACCAGCACAUCACACACGUUCUCCUUGGAAGAGAGAAGCAGUACAUCCCGGUUGAGAGGUCACAAAGCAUUAGUUUGUGUGUGUGUGUGUGUGUGUGUGUGUGUGUGUGUGUGUGUGUGUGUGGUAAAGGGGGGAAGGUGUUAUGCGGCUGCUCCCUCCGUCCCAGAGGUGGCAGUGAUUCCAUAAUGUGGAGACUAGUAACUAGAUCCUAAGGCAAAGAGGUGUUUCUCCUUCUGGAUGAUUCAUCCCAAAGCCUUCCCACCCAGGUGUUCUCUGAAAGCUUAGCCUUAAGAGAACACGCAGAGAGUUUCCCUAGAUAUACUCCUGCCUCCAGGUGCUGGGACACACCUUUGCAAAAUGCUGUGGGAAGCAGGAGCUGGGGAGCUGUGUUAAGUCAAAGUAGAAACCCUCCAGUGUUUGGUGUUGUGUAGAGAAUAGGACAUAGGGUAAAGAGGCCAAGCUGCCUGUAGUUAGUAGAGAAGAAUGGAUGUGGUUCUUCUUGUGUAUUUAUUUGUAUCAUAAACACUUGGAACAACAAAGACCAUAAGCAUCAUUUAGCAGUUGUAGCCAUUUUCUAGUUAACUCAUGUAAACAAGUAAGAGUAACAUAACAGUAUUACCCUUUCACUGUUCUCACAGGACAUGUACCUAAUUAUGGUACUUAUUUAUGUAGUCACUGUAUUUCUGGAUUUUUAAAUUAAUAAAAAAGUUAAUUUUGAAAAAUCA